rnacentral:hammerhead_ribozyme from 1 species
AUCUAGCUGACGAGUCCUAAGUAGUACGAAACGCGUGUCCUGGAU